rnacentral:rRNA from 1 species
UACAGAGGGUGCGAGCGUUAAUCGGAAUUACUGGGCGUAAAGCGUGCGCAGGCGGUUUUGUAAGCCAGAUGUGAAAGCCCCGGGCUCAACCUGGGAAUGGCAUUUGGGACUGCAAGGCUGGAGUUUGGCAGAGGAGACUGGAAUUCCUGGUGUAGCAGUGAAAUGCGUAGAUAUCAGGAGGAAUACCGAUGGCGAAGGCAGGUCUCUGGGCUAUAACUGACGCUCAUGCACGAAAGCGUGGGGAGCAAACAGG